rnacentral:rRNA from 1 species
CCUACGGGUGGCAGCAGUGAGGAAUAUUGGUCAAUGGACGAGAGUCUGAACCAGCCAAGUAGCGUGAAGGAUGACUGCCCUAUGGGUUGUAAACUUCUUUUAUAAAGGAAUAAAACGUGGCACGUGUGCCUGUUUGAGUGUACUUUAUGAAUAAGCAUCGGCUAACUCCGUGCCAGCAGCCGCGGUAAUACGGAGGAUCCGAGCGUUAUCCGGAUUUAUUGGGUUUAAAGGGAGCGUAGGUGGGUUGUUAAGUCAGUUGUGAAAGUUUGCGGCUCAACCGUAAAAGUGCAAUUGAUACUGGCAGCCUUGAGUACAGUUGAGGUAGGCGGAAUUCGUGGUGUAGCGGUGAAAUGCUUAGAUAUCACGAAGAACCCCGAUUGCGAAGGCAGCUUACUAGACUGUGACUGACACUGAUGCUCGAAAGUGUGGGUAUCAAACAGGAUUAGAUACCCGGGUAGUC